rnacentral:lncRNA from 13 species
GUCAUUAUUGUUUUGAGAUAAGCUAUUUGGGGUGUAGAGCACUUUAUUAUGGGGACAGAACGCAGAUUCUAUAAAUAGUAUAAAGUCUGCUAUUGACAAUAGCUCACUAACAAAUACCACUAUCUGGUAGUCACUUCAGAUUGAUUAAUGAGUUGAUUAUUUAGGGCUGAACGCUUGUUAAAACCACUGGGCCGCAAGGCAGCGUGUUAAACCGUGCAGCUGUGAAACUGCAAUAUAAUCCACGAGCUGAUAAAAUCUGGAAAUAUUUAAUCUGUCUAUUAUUUAAAAAUUAUUAUUCAGCAUUCAUAAGUAGAGGGUGAAUCUGAUUGUUAGUUGAUGUCAUCAAACACCUAUGUUCUGUCUCUUGUUCUGCACAACAUCCUCAGGUCACAAUAUAGAAUCAGUUGUCACUUGUAGGCACAGCAACAGCUGGCCAGAGAAGAGAGACACAUCCUUCCAGGCAGAGCUUUGUAAUGAGAAGAAAACCUUUCUCAGAAGUGCUCAAGAUGCCUGUCUUCAGGCCCCAGGGCAGGCCUUUCCUCAAAGCAGCUGCUUCUGGCCACUGCUGGUCUCCAUCCACCUGGAGCAACAUGGCCUAACAGUUCCUUCCACACUAGAGGCAAAAGGAAUGAGAAAAUAAGAUACAGGGAAGAUAAAUGAUCAAAAAUCACGAACAGAAAUAAUGAAAGAUUUCUUGACACUCCAGUUCAGAGUUAACUACAACAGAUUUUACCUCCCCCAAGACCACGUCUUUCUUCCUGGAACAGUUUGGAACAGAUCAGUGAAAGGUCAUAACACGUAGAUAAACAUGUUCACAGAAUAGUUCAUCAAAAGUGGAUUCUAUGAAAAUCGAAUACUUGACUUUGCCUGAAGCAAAGUGGAGCAUUAUUUUACAUUAGUCAGAACUAUCAGGCUGGUAAUUUGGAAAUUAUACACACACUGUUGAAAGAAUGUCUAAAUCUGAAUGGAAUUUCUAAGCUCUUAGCUCAAGAUUUGAUUAAUUAAAAAGCAAGAAAUGGAUGCAUUGACUGUGUUUACAAGUGAUAUGUCCUGGUUUUAUCCUUUAUCUGUUCUCAUCUUUGAGGGUUUCCAUUAAGGUCGUCAAGUUUUGAAUAAGCCUGACAAGCAUUCAACAGCUUUCAGCAGUGGCAAAGGCUGUUUAUAGAGGGG